rnacentral:rRNA from 1 species
AACGAACGCUGGCGGCAGGCCUAACACAUGCAAGUCGAACGAACCUUCGGGUGAGUGGCGCACGGGUGCGUAACGCGUGGGAAUGUACAUCUCGGUAAGGAAUAACUGCUGGAAACGGUAGCUAAUACCUUAUAAUGACUCCGGUCCAAAGAUUUAUCGCCGAGGAAUCAGCCCGCGUCGGAUUAGCUUGUUGGUGAGGUAAAAGCUCACCAAGGCGACGAUCCGUAGCUGGUCUGAGAGGAUGAUCAGCCACACUGGUACUGAGACACGGACCAG